AACGCACAUUGCGCCCCUUGGUAUUCCGGGGGGCAUGCCUGUUCGAGCGUCAUUACAACCCUCAAGCUCUGCUUGGUCUUGGGCGUCACCGGUCCCCGGUGUGCCUUAAAAUCAGUGGCGGCGCCACCUGGCUCUACGCGUAGUACACACUCUCGCGAUGGACGCCCGGCGGAUGCUGGCCAGCAACCCCCCAUUUUUUUCAGGUUGACCUCGGAUCAGGUAGGGAUACCCGCUGAACUUAA
rnacentral:misc_RNA from 1 species